rnacentral:rRNA from 1 species
GAGGAAUAUUGGACAAUGGACGAAAGUCUGAUCCAGCUAUGCCGCGUGCAGGAUGACGGCCCUAUGGGUUGUAAACUGCUUUUAUACAGGAAGAAAAACUCCGACGUGUCGGAGCUUGACGGUACUGUAAGAAUAAGGAUCGGCUAACUCCGUGCCAGCAGCCGCGGUAAUACGGAGGAUCCAAGCGUUAUCCGGAAUCAUUGGGUUUAAAGGGUCCGCAGGCGGUUUUUUAAGUCAGAGGUGAAAUCCUGCAGCUCAACUGUAGAAUUGCCUUUGAUACUGAAAGACUUGAGUUAUUGUGAAGUGGUUAGAAUGUGUGGUGUAGCGGUGAAAUGCAUAGAUAUCACACAGAAUACCAAUUGCGAAGGCAGAUCACUAACAAUAUACUGACGCUCAGGGACGAAAGCGUGGGUAGCGAACAGG